AUGUUCCGCGCGGACCCGCGAGCGCGCGGUCCGCCGCCGUUCGGGCACCCGCCGCCCCCCGCCCCUCCCUUCAGGCCGGCGGGACCCGGAGCCCCGUUCACCAACAGCCCGUUCUGCCACAGCAGGCCGCCGGGAGCCCACUGCAUCAGCCCCCACUGUAGCAACUUCUCCAUAGACUGUAGUACAGUCAUUGCUGUGGGUGGCAGCCAGCAGAUUGCACCCCCUGCAGAAAGGCUGCAUCCUCCGGUACCUCAGUGGAAUCCCAAUCCUUUGGAGAAAAAUUGCCCAGACAGCAGUGACCAAGCUGGGGAGGAAUUCCUGCGAUGCAUCGCCGCCAACAAGCCCCUACCAGACUACCUGAAAGGGAACAUGGCUUACAAUCUGGCAGAAGCAUUUAAAUCUGCCAAUGUCCUUAAAGAAGCCGUUAGAUCAGACCCACAGUUCCAGAAGCAUGUGUCAAGGAGCAAAAGCCGGAGCAGAAGUAAGGCCAGAUCUAGAGCUAAAAGCUGUGGGCGCAGCCAAAACCGGAGGCGCAGCCAUAGCCGGGGACGCAGCCGAAGCCGGAGGCGCAGCCGAAGCCGGGGAAGAAGUAAAAGUCGAGUACGCAGCAAGAAUUGUGCUAGAAGCAAAAGUAGAGGUAGCAGUUGGAGUCGAACCAGGAGUCGAAGCAAAAGCCGAAGCAGAAAGAAGCACCUGAGAAGCAAGAGCCAGGUUGGCAGGUCAAGGUCAAGAAGUAGUGAAGUGAACCGUGGCAAAUACCAGAGGAGGAGCAGCCCAACCUGCACCGCAGACGGCUUGUCAAGGACCAGCCUGUUGGAAGAGCUGAAGCUCGCCAUGAGCAGCAACCAGCUGGUGGACUGUUUGCCCUCUCUCAAAGCAGCCCUUCUCAGCAUCCAGAGCCCACCUGAAGAUAAACCUGCAGAGAGUUUGUCUGGGCCCACCCAGAUUCAGCAAAGGGAAAGUUGUCGGGACAACUCAACGUCUCCUGAAAACGAGAGCAUGCUGCUUCCCCACGAAAGAGUUGGGGGCAAUUUCUCCUGGCUCCAAGAGAAGAGCCAGGAGGACAUUUCAGUGCAAAGAGCCAACGAGCUUGAGGAAGAGGAGUCCUUCUUCGAGCAGUGUGAGAAGAUCAAGAGCAUCCUCAGCAGCCUGGGCGUUUCCUCACACUCAGAAAACGUCCCAGUGAAGACGAAGAGGGGCAGUCAGCCCCCCGUGGUCGCUGUCAGCUCCGACACGGCUAUGGCAACGCUAAACAACCCAAAUGUUUGUAAAGCUCUGGAGUCUCUGAUCCGAGGUGAGUCCUGA
rnacentral:lncRNA from 1 species